AGCUUUUUAGACGUUAUAAAAUCUUCAAUGCAUAUUUUAAUGUAUAUAGCAUGUAUUACCUAAUUUUGUCUACUAUACAAUUUUCAUAUUGUUCUCCACCUACUUUAGCAGUCAUACUAUAUUCUAAUUCUGCAUUUCAUCCUGAAUUAUUAAACGAUAACAAUUUUAUACUAUUAUUUUAAAGUAAUUGUCUACUCUAUUCAGUUGAGAUCAAUAAUUCAAACACUACCUGAUUUAUCUUAUUCCAUACAGCGUUUUUGUACACAGCACACGAACUAUUAUCUUAACUUUGAACUUAACGACUCAUACUUUACUAAAACUAUUAGAGACGAAUUUCAAUCUAGUUAGGAAUGUUGGAGGUGUACAUACUGGCGCGAUGCUGUCUCACCCGUAAGUUGCUAUCGAAUCACAAAAAGCACCAAACCAUGACAAUCUAUGCUGAAGGCCUAUUCAUCGCACAACGAAAAGCCAUAAAUAGAGACCUAUUAUUACUACUUAAGAAAAUGCAUUAUUGUAGCUUAAGAUAAAACGCACAUUGUAAAGCUUUCUAGAGAUUUUUUUUAAGUUUUUAAAAUUAAGAUUAUAUUGUUUAUUUUUUUAUAUCUUCAAUAAUUUUGUUUUAGUAAUAUUUUAUUUAUUAAAUGUUUGAUUAAAUAAUUUUACUCUGUAUUUAUUAAAAG